UUGCAAAAGGUGAGCCAUAAAUAAAACAAUACAGUACAUAAUGACGAACAUAACCUAUAAAUGCGAAAAGUUUCAUCAUUGUUUAAAACUUGAUAGUUGGCUCUCAUUGCUAAAAUAAUAACAAAACGAAGUAGUGAAAAGAAGCGAAAUAGUGAAUUCAUGCUAAAAGUGAUGUAUACAUAGUAGAUAAAACACGUUGGUUUAACGUUUUCGAGGUCGUAGUAUCCAUUUAUCGAAAUUUCAGAAGUCGAAAUAUAGUACUUUUUACGUUUUACAAAUAAUUAGAUUUGUUGAUUCAAUUUUUUCAACUGGAUUUAUGAAAUAAAAUAAAGGUUUUAUUAUGGAGGGCAUAUUUUUAUGAGAUAUAGGCUUGGCUUAAGGGAGGAAAGGGUAUUCAAGUUGAGUUGAGUCUUCCUGAGGAAAAUUGAGUAGCUACAGACUUGCUAAAGUAGGGACAAAUAAACCCUUCAUAGGACCCUACCCCUUUUAAGAAAUCAAAUACAGAACAAUGAAGAAAACCUUGAAAAAGAGUGUAGAUUGGGAAAAACAGUUACUGGACCAAUCUACCUAGGUUGGGACACUACAGGACUCCAGUGUUUCACAUCACACGAAGAUCUCUAGCAGCUAAAGCCAUUCCAGAUCCUGAAGUUUCUAAGGGGAGUUGGUUAAUAUAUCAGCUUUAAAUACUGAGAAUACCCAGGUCACGACAAGAAAAAAAGACAGAAUAGAUCCUUUAAGUCAAAAAUUAGCUAGGAAAACUAAAAAGUCAGAUUAAAAACUCAGAAAUUAUCUAUGAAAUCUAUCUAUUGAAAUGAGUUGCUCUUUGUUACAACUCUAUGUUUUAUUGGCUGAAAAUGAAGGCAUUAAUCCAUUAAGGAAAAAUAUUUUCUAGUGGAAGAUUUGGAUACAACUCCCAAUAUGCUUUUUUUGAGUUCACUAUAGUUCGUUUAGAUUUCAUUAAAUAAAUAGUAUAUAGGAAAAUAUGCUAUUUUAAAAACAUAAGAGGCUUUUUUUAAUAUCCAAUUAUGCUAGUAAGUAGGUAUCAUAGUUUAUCAAAGUUUAUUCAUCACCUUUCAACAAAAUUCAGUCUCAAGUACUGAAUUUUUGGAUACUUUUGUUUCUACACAGACUAUUAUAAUGAGUAACCAUGUACACUGAAUUUAAAAAAUAGUAUAAUAAAUAACAGUAACAUGAUUUUAAAUAUUAUUACCCUCUGAGAAGUUGUUCGCCAGCAUUAUAAUCAUUGUGCGUUUUUUUGUAAUAAUCAUGACCUACUUGACUUUCCCAUAGUACCUCGUAUGGUGUUUUUGAAGGGUUAAUUAGUUCUUUUACACUUGUCUCU